rnacentral:rRNA from 1 species
UACAGAGGUCCCAAGCGUUGUUCGGAUUUACUGGGCGUAAAGGGCGCGUAGGCGGCCAGUGCAAGUCAGUUGUGAAAUCUCCGAGCUUAACUCGGAAAGGUCAACUGAUACUGCUCGGCUAGAGUGCGGAAGGGGCAACUGGAAUUCUUGGUGUAGCGGUGAAAUGCGUAGAUAUCAAGAGGAACACCUGCGGCGAAGGCGGGUUGCUGGGCCGACACUGACGCUGAUGCGCGAAAGCCAGGGGAGCAAACGGG